AUGCAUGAACAAUGUAAGCCACACUGUCACGGACACUUUGUUUACACUUUCUUCGCCGAGAAAUUUUCGAGGACUUGGGUUCGGUAUCAGCACUGGUCUGCUUGUCUGGCCGAGGGAACUCAGGCGCGACGUAGGGCAGAAACCAGCAGCCGUGGCGCAGAAACGAGCAAUCAUCGCGCACGUUGGACGGCGGCAGGUCGUCGUCCCAGUAAGACACCUGCCAGUUCUCCGGCGUCGGCGCUGGUCUCCCGCAGCGGGGCUUGUACAGCCACGGCACGCACAGGCAGCUGUUCCCCCUCACCAAGAUCGCCGUGUCCCCCUUGUUCGCCGCCGGGAUCCACCGGCCCUGCCCGCCGCUGUGGAUCAGCAUCACGGCGAACGUGCCGAACCGGCGGCCGGGGGCCAGCGCCGCCCUGUGGAACAUGCCCCGGCCCAUCGGCUUGA
rnacentral:rRNA from 1 species